rnacentral:rRNA from 1 species
GACGAACGCUGGCGGCGUGCCUAAUACAUGCAAGUCGAGCGAACCAAUAAGAAGCUUGCUUUUUGUUGGUUAGCGGCGGACGGGUGAGUAACACGUGGGUAACCUGCCUGUAAGACCGGGAUAACUCCGGGAAACCGGUGCUAAUACCGGAUAGAUUAUCUUUCCGCAUGGAGAGAUAAGGAAAGAUGGCUAUUGCCAUCACUUACAGAUGGGCCCGCGGCGCAUUAGCUAGUUGGUGAGGUAACGGCUCACCAAGGCGACGAUGCGUAGCCGACCUGAGAGGGUGAUCGGCCACACUGGGACUGAGACACGGCCCAGACUCCUACGGGAGGCAGCAGUAGGGAAUCUUCCGCAAAGGACGAAAGUCUGACGGAGCAACGCCGCGUGAGCGAUGAAGGUCUUCGGAUCGUAAAGCUCUGUUGUUAGGGAAGAACAAGUAUCGGAGGAAAUGCCGGUACCUUGACGGUACCUGACGAGAAAGCCACGGCUAACUACGUG